UACGUAGGGGGCAAGCGUUGUCCGGAAUCAUUGGGCGUAAAGAGCGUGUAGGCGGCCUGGUAAGUCCGCUGUGAAAGUCCAGGGCUCAACCCUGGAAUGCCGGUGGAAACUGUCGGCAGCUGAGUCCGGAAGAGGCGAGUGGAAUUCCUGGUGUAGCGGUGAAAUGCGCAGAUAUCAGGAGGAACACCAAUGGCGAAGGCAGCUCGCUGGGACGGUACUGACGCUGAGACGCGAAAGCGUGGGGAGCAAACAGG
rnacentral:rRNA from 1 species